AGGUCAAGCUAGAAAGAGCGCAAGGGGAAUGCCUUGGCAUCAGGAGCCGACGAAGGACGUGACAAGCUGCGAUAAGCUGCGGUGAGCUGCACAUAAGCUUUGACCCGCAGAUUUCCGAAUGGGGAAACCCGGCAGAGCAAUACUCUGUCAGCGUGCGUUGAAUCAAAUAGGCGUACGCGGGGAACCGCCUGAACUGAAACAUCUAAGUAGGGCGAGGAAGAGAAAUCAACCGAGAUUCCGCUAGUAGUGGCGAGCGAACGCGGAAGAGGGCAAACCGGAGGAUUUAUCCUCCGGGGUUGUGGACAGUUUUUUAGCAACUGGAACUAGGAGAACGGUAUGGGAAGGCCGGCCAUAGCGGGUGAUAGCCCCGUAUCCGAAAGGGAAGGUUGUGCGACUGGAUCCAGAGUACCGCCGGACACGUGAAACCCGGUGGGAAGCUGGGGGGACCACCCUCCAACCCUAAAUACUACCUGAUGACCGAUAGAGGAGCAGUACCGUGAGGGAAAGGUGAAAAGGACCCCGGGAGGGGAGUGAAAGAGAACCUGAAACCUUGUGCUUACAAGCACUCAAAGCCCGUUAAAGGGUGAUGAGGUACCUUUUGUAGAAUGGUCCGGCGAGUUAUUGUUACUGGCAAGCUUAAGGCAUUCAGUGCCGGAGGCGCAGGGAGACCGAGUCUGAAUAGGGCGUAUGAAGUCAGUGGCAAUAGACCCGAAACCGGGUGACCUAUCCAUGGGCAGGUUGAAGUGGGGGUAAAACCCCAUGGAGGACCGAACGCACGCCCGUUGCAAUGGUCGGCGAUGACCUGUGGAUAGCGGUGAAAUUCCAAUCGAACUCGGAGAUAGCUGGUUCUCCCCGAAAUAGCUUUAGGGCUAGCGUUGGCUUAGAUUACCGGAGGUAAAGCACUGAAUGGGCUAGGGGCCGAUAAGGUUACUGAACCCUAUCAAACUCUGAAUGCCGGAUAAUUGAUGGCCAGCAGUCAGUCUACGUGAGAUAAGUCUCGUGGACAAAAGGGAAACAGCCCAGACCCACAGCUAAGGUCCCAAAGAUACGCUAAGUGGAAAACGAUGUGGAGUUGCGAAAACAACCAGGAUGUUGGCUUAGAAGCAGCCACUCAUUAAAAGAGUGCGUAAUAGCUCACUGGUCGAGUGACUCUGCGCGGAAAAUAUAACGGGGCUAAGCGUAACACCGAAGCUUGGGCUGCACAGCAAUGUGCGGGGUAGGGGAGCGUCGAAUAUGGGGUGAAGUCGUAGCGGAAGCAGCGGUGGACUGUAUUCGAGUGAGAAUGCCGGAAUGAGUAGCGAGAAUUAUGUGGGAAUCAUAAUGGCCGAAAAUCUAAGGUUUCCUGGGGAAGGUUCGUCCGCCCAGGGUAAGCCGGGAGCUAAGGCGAGGCCGAAAGGCGUAGUCGAUGCACAUACGGUUGAAAUUCCGUAGCCACCGAACCUUAAGUACACUGACACAUGGAGAUAGCGGGACCCGGGCGUUGGUUGACCCGGGCGUAAGGGACCGAACUUUAGUAGGGAAGUCCGCGAUGCUCUGUGGCGAGAAAAGGUGUAUGGUAUGCUAAGGUGCCCGUACCGCAAACCGACACAGGUAGAUGAGGAGAGAAUCCUAAGGCCAACGGGAGAAGGGUUGUUAAGGAACUCGGCAAAAUGACCCCGUAACUUCGGGAUAAGGGGAGCCUCCUACGGGAGGCCGCAGCGAAUAGGCCCAAGCGACUGUUUACCAAAAACACAGGUCUCUGCUAAAUCGAAAGAUGACGUAUAGGGGCUGACGCCUGCCCGGUGCUGGAAGGUUAAGAGGAGAUGUUAGCCGCAAGGCGAAGCAUUGAAUCGAAGCCCCAGUAAACGGCGGCCGUAACUAUAACGGUCCUAGGGUAGCG
rnacentral:rRNA from 1 species